rnacentral:rRNA from 1 species
UACGUAGGGUGCAGGCGUUAAUCGGAAUUACUGGGCGUAAAGCGUGCGCAGGCGGUCUGCUAAGAGAGAUGUGAAAUCCCGAGGCUCAACCUCCAGCCUGCAGUGGGUACGGGCAGACUAGAGUGCGGUAGGGGUGACUGGAAUUCCUGGUGUAGCGGUGGAAUGCGCAGAUAUCAGGAGGAACACCGAUGGCGAAGGCAGGUCACUGGGCCGCAACUGACGCUGAGGAGCGGAAAGCAUGGGGAGCGAACAGG